CACACACACACAUAUCGCUGCUGCUGCUGCUGCUGCUGCUGCUGUUGCUGCUGCUGGGGCCGGCGGCGGCAGAAAGUGCGCGUGGCGUGCGUGAGUUGUGAAUGAGCACACACGCAGAGAGCGAGAGAGAGAGAGAGAGAGAGAGAACUGAACUGUCGCGGACCUCUACGCACACUCUGGCUGCGGAGCGACGGAGAAAGAGCACGUUCGCGUUCCUCCACUCGUAACUCAGCUGCUCUCUGGCGCACUGGAAAACUACUCGGACGUGUGGCGCGUGGUGCCCACUGCUGGCUGUGCGCACACAGACGCACACGCCCGCGUUCGGUCAAAUUCUUUAAAAUCCUCCGCUUUUGCGCUUAUUUCGGAGCCCCCACUUGCUUCUCGCGUCGCACUGCUGUACAGCAAUGCGCAGCCCACGGACUUCCGUUCGCCUUCCGCUCACGAAAAUUGCGAAGAGACGGCGACGCACGACAACGGGCGACGAUGACGCGUGUGCGCGCGGAGCGAGAGAGCGAAAGACUUGCGCGUAUGUACGCUCUCGCUCUUAGCUCUAACUCGGCUCGUCCGGCGUUAUUUAAAUUGCUUAUUUCUCGAUUUAAUGCGCGCGUGCUCGUGCACUCUGCAGCUCGCGCGAGCCUGGCCCUGAGCGAGCACAUAACCGUGCGCGCUUUCUCGGCUCUCUGUACAUGCAUUAUAACAUGCGAGCUAUACCUAUGUAGGUAUUUACAUAUACACACAUGUGUGCGCUCACGUUUACACCACGUUUUUCUCCCUCUCUUGUGCUCGGUGACUCCCGCGGGCUCUCGCAUCGACGGCGUCACGCUCACGUGCGAAAUACUUGUGUGUCUUGUGCGCGGCGCGCGCGAGAGAGUUGCGAGAGUUGCGACGCGUCGAAGAGGGACACGGAACGCGCGAUUCGAUAUGCGAUAGCGCGCGGCGUCGUCUGCCUCCUCCUCCUCCUCCUCUCCCCGCUCUCCCGUACGGGUUAUUGCAACUCCAAUAUGCGUCUAGAUAUUUAUGCGCCAGCUCGCUCCGUCUAUGUAUUUUCCCCUCUCCUCUCUGCCGCUGUUUUGCGCUGCUGAGGUUAUUAUACGCCGCGACAACUCUCGCGCAGGAGAGGAAGGGCCAGCAAGUGCUCCAUGUAAUACGUUUAUAUGUAUGAGCCAGUACACUGAUAAGCCAUCGUCAAGAGCCAGCUCUGAAACGCGUAAAUAGUCGUUGUACCUGGCGACGGUGCCGCCGCGCACGCCGACGCCCCGAGAUAACAAUGAUCGUAUACGCAGCUCGGCAGCUGUCUCCCGCCGUGUGCGGGAUCUUAAACAAAACCUCGAAAUUGCAGUGUGCUAUAUAGGUUCAAUGUACAGCAGCGAAAGCGCGGAUAACAACAACGUAUAUUGUCCGCGCGCGGACAAAUUCCCUCCCCGCCCGUCCUCCUGCCCCCUCUCGCUUACCGGUCCGUCAAUCUCCGCCAGCAGCAGCUGCUUUGAUCAUCGUUUUCGUUCAUCGUCGUCAACUCGUCAUCGUCUCAUUCUCCCCCUGCCCCACCCUGCCCCCCUCUCGCGAACGCUCGCACCGCAACUCGCAAGAUGUCGCUUCGAGCAGUACUAGCCGCCGCCGCUUCAUCUCCGACAGCUCUCUCUGUCUCUCUCUCUAGUCUCUCUCUCUAUGGCCGAGCCAUUUUAUCGAUUUUUCGCAACGAGGCAAUUUGACGACUGCCGCUGUACUUGUGCGCCGUGCGUGGCGUCUGGACGAGGAAGCAGAAGCCGGAGAUCACACACCGCGGAUGCCGACACCGAGGGAAACGCUGUUACUCUGAAAACCACUACGCGACCGGCCGUAAGCAUUCGUCCUGAAACGUGGUGCUUCUGCCGUUAUGAAUAAGCCUCGGCGUCUUGCGUGUGUUAUUCGAUUCAGCAGCAGCAACAGCAGCAGCAGCACCAGCACCAGCAGUAUCAGCAGCAAUGGCUGCGCGCUCAUCGAGACCUUGAGAGAUUUCCAGCAGCGCAAAACAAUUCGUCGUCAAUACCGAGUAAACAAGCAAUAUGUCCCGCUAUCCAUCAGACUGCAAGGUCUACGUCGGUGACCUGGGCAACAGCGCGACGAAACAGGAGUUGGAAGAUGCAUUCUCGCAUUACGGACCGUUGAAGAACGUCUGGGUGGCCAGGAACCCGCCAGGCUUUGCCUUCGUUGAAUUCGAGGACGCCCGAGAUGCCGAAGACGCGGUCAAGGCCUUGGACGGCCGGACAGUCUGCGGACGCAGGGCCCGCGUCGAGCUUUCCAACGGAGAGCGUUCAAGGGACAGGGGCGGCGCGAGGCGUGGUGGCGCCGGUAGCAACCGGCCAUUCCAUCCGGAGCACAGAUGUUACGACUGCGGCGAGCGCGGUCAUUACGCUCGGGACUGCUCCAGACAACGAGGCGGAGCACGGAGGCGCAGGAGGUGCGGCUGAAGCAGCAUUCGCAUGUGACUAUGCGAUGUCGCACAGAGAGAAACUCGCGAGAUUCGACUUGGGUUCACUUUGUGAUGCACUCUGCGUAGUUACAGCGUGUAGAGCACCUACCUACUUUGGGUUUACUUCUGCACUACGAGACACUGAACAGAGAAUACGCAAACGAAAGAGAGCUAAAGAUCGAACGAGACUCAGACUCAGCGAGAAUAUGCGGGAGAGAGCGAAAGAGAGCGAAAGAGGCACUUCGGUUCUUCUAACGACGGCACUUCGCUGCGCUACGACUCUGUCCGCACUCCGCCGCUUCUUCGGGUCUUGGUUCAGCUCAAUGUUUUGAUCUGAUAUCUGCAAACGUCGUCGUAGACACGCAUAGCGAACAUCUGCUCCUUUAGCCUACACUCUCUUCGUCGACACCUCCGAAUAUCGCGCGAUUUUGACAAUCUGCUCUGCUACCCCUCCACCCACGCGUACUCACGCAGCCUCUAAUAGGUCUUUGUCCAGAUCGCGCUCAAGAUCUCGUUCACGCUCAAGGCAGCGUACCAAGCGCAGCUACUCGCGCUCGUCGUCCCGUAGCCGAUCUCGCAGCAGAAGCAGGAACGGACGUCCAGCCAAAUCUUUGAGCAAAUCACGAUCACCAUCGAAAAGCCGCACUCCACGCAGAUCGAAAUCUGGAACUCCUCAUUCAAGAUCCUAAAUUUUCCAAAAGAUUAGAGGUUGAAGGAUCAAACGCUUUUUACUCGUGAUGAAAAUGGUACCUACAUUAAAUCUUGAAAAACACAACAAUUGCAAACAACGUUAUCAGUAUAAUAAUUUCAAUUUCUUUAAAGUCCUUAGAAUUUUUAGAUAAGGAUGAUCAUUUAGACAACUUUGUGAUUGCGAUAAUGUAACGAUUCAAUAAGAUGGAUAAUAAAAUUUUCUUACUAAAAAUUAGAUUUGACGAAUAUUAUGAAUACAAAUUAUGUAGCACGAUCUCAGCAACGGCGUGGUGGAAGUUUAAUUAGAAGUUUAAUUGUAUUUAAACUUCAAUAUGUAGGUUAAAAAACUUAUCGCCAUAGAUUCAGAACCGACAUACUUGCUACUUGAAAAAUUCAAGUGUUUCUUAUGGCUGACUAAGCCUAUUCAAUUUUUAUAGUUAAUUUCAACAUUUGUACACCAGGGAUUAUAAAAACAUAGAAUAAAUAAUAAAACUUUAAUUUCAUUCAAACUUUA